rnacentral:rRNA from 1 species
GGGUAGCAAUACCUGAGUACAGCGGCGCACGGGUGAGUAACACGUGGAUAACCUGCCUCAAAGUGGGGAAUAACACCGGGAAACCGGUGCUAAUACCGCAUAUUCUGACGAAGUCUGCGGAUUUUGUCAGGAAAGGAGCAAUUCGCUAUGAGAGGGGUCCGCGGCUGAUUAGCUAGUUGGUGAGGUAAUGGCUCACCAAGGCCACGAUCAGUAGCCGGUCUGAGAGGACGGUCGGUCACACUGGAACUGAGACACGGUCCAGACUCCUACGGGAGGCAGCAGUGGGGAAUUUUUCGCAAUGGGGGCAACCCUGACGAAGCAAUGCCGCGUGGAUGAUGAAGUAUCUCGGUACGUAAAAUCCUUUCGACGGGGACGAAACCGCAAGGUUGACGGUACCCGUAGAAGAAGCCCCGGCUAACUCCGUGCCAGCAGCCGCGGUAAUACGGGGGGGGCAAGCGUUGUUCGGAAUUACUGGGCGUAAAGGGUGCGUAGGCGGCUCUCUAAGUCGGAUGUGAAAACUCUGGGCUCAACCCAGAGCCUGCAUCCGAAACUGGAGGGCUAGGGUUUUGGAGGGGAAAGCGGAAUUCCAGGUGUAGCGGUGAAAUGCGUAGAUAUCUGGAGGAACACCGGUGGCGAAGGCGGCUUUCUGGACAAAUACCGACGCUGAGGCACGAAAGCUAGGGGAGCAAACAGGAUUAGAUACCCUGGUAGUCCUAGCCCUAAACUAUGGAUACUUGCUGUGGGGGGGAUUGAAGCCCCUUGUGGCGAAGCUAACGCAUUAAGUAUCCCGCCUGGGGAGUACGGUCGCAAGGCUGAAACUC